rnacentral:rRNA from 1 species
UACAUGGGGUGCAAACGUUGCUCGGAAUUAUUGGGCGUAAAGCGCGCGUAGGCGGUUAUCUAAGUCGGAUGUGAAAGCCCUCGGCUUAACUGAGGAAGUGCACCCGAAACUGGAUAGCUAGAGUACGAAAGAGGGUCGCGGAAUUCCCGGUGUAGAGGUGAAAUUCGUAGAUAUCGGGAGGAACACCGGUGGCGAAGGCGGGUCUCUGGACAGUUCCUGACACUGAGGCACGAAGGCCAGGGGAGCAAACGGG